GCAAUUCCAUCAGUCAUCCGAAACUUUCUGGCUCCAUAAUAGAACUAUAGUCAACAGAGAUUUGGUGGAAUUCAGCAAGUGGAAACCACCUAUGCCUCUGCCUUGAAUAUGCUUUACGCGACUUGUAGAUCAAUUGUGCGUUUGUUAUAGUUGCAUUGUAAUUUUUGCCAGAGCUAUAAAUGACCACUGUCCAGCGACUUGUAGAUCAAUUGUGUGUUUGUUAUAGUUGCAUUGUAAUUUUUGCCAGAGCUAUAAAUGACCACUGUCCAUUUUUUUCUCUCUCCAGAGCUAUAGAGAAAAUCUCGCUGAUUAUUUACAUUUUCUUUCUUCGUGUUUUGUCCUUGAAAAGGUUGUGACGUUUAUUAGGUUGUCACAAGAAUUGGGAUUCCUUAGGCUAUUUUGAAGUUAGGAUGCACCGCUUAGUGGUUUUAGUUUGCGUUCUCGGAAUGGAAACGGUUUAAAUAUACCCUUGUACUAUAUGAAAUUGAAUACAUUUGUCAUUCGUUAAUAUAUUAGCCCAUAUAUGUUCUUACUGUCACAUAGUUGGUCCAUAUAUGUCCUUACUGUCACGAAUUCACCCAAAUUAAUUAGCUCUUUUGUUAAUUGUAUUAAAGUGUAUUACAAACUCCAUUUUCGUUUUAUUAGUUUUUUUU
rnacentral:lncRNA from 1 species